rnacentral:rRNA from 1 species
ACUGCUCAGUAACACGUGGACAACCUGCCCUUAGGUUGGGUAUAAACCCGGGAAACUGGGUAUAAUACCCGAUAGGUCUCGAUUGCUGGAAUGCAUCGAGAUUUAAAGCUCCGGCGCCUAAGGAUGGGUCUGCGGCCUAUCAGGUAGUAGUGGGUGUAGCGUACCUACUAGCCUACGACGGGUACGGGUUGUGAGAGCAAGAGCCCGGAGAUGGAUUCUGAGACACGAAUCCAGGCCCUACGGGGUGCAGCAGGCGCGAAAACUUUACAAUGCUGGCAACAGCGAUAAGGGAACCUCGAGUGCCAGGUUACAAAUCUGGCUGUCGAGAUGCCUAAAAAGCAUUUCAUAGCAAGGGCCGGGCAAGACCGGUGCCAGCCGCCGCGGUAACACCGGCGGCUCGAGUGGUAACCGUUAUUAUUGGGUCUAAAGGGUCUGUAGCCGGCCGGAUAAGUCUCUUGAGAAAUCUGGCAGCUUAACUGUCAGGCUUUCAGGAGAUACUGUCUGGCUCGAGGCCGGGAGAGGUGAGAGGUACUUCAGGGGUAGGGGUGAAAUCUUGUAAUCCUUGAAGGACCACCAGUGGCGAAGGCGUCUCACCAGAACGGACCUGACGGCAAGGGACGAAAGCUAGGGGCACGAACCGGAUUAGAUACCCGGGUAGUCCUAGCCGUAAACGAUACCCGCUAGGUGUCGGCCACGGUGCGACCGUUGUCGGUGCCGUAGGGAAGCCGCGAAGCGAGCCACCUGGGAAGUACGGCCGCAAGGCUGAAACUUAAAGGAAUUGGCGGGGGAGCAC